ACUCUUGUGUGGGAUCAACAGUCUGGAAAGGAAGAAAUGCCAUCAUCAACUUUCUGAGCAACAAAAGAAAUUAUAUUCUCCAAAGUUAUGUUUUUGUUUUUUGAGACAGAGUCUUGCUCUGUCACCCAGGCUGGAGUGCAGUGGUGUGAUCUGGGCUCACUGGAAACUCUGCCUCACAGGUUCAAGCAGUUCUCCUGCUUCAGCCUUCUGAGUAACGGAAAUUACAGGCAUGCACCACCAUGCCCAGAUAAUUUUGUAGUUUUAGUAGAGAUGGGGUUUCACCAUUUUGGCCAGGCUGGUUUUGAACACCUGACCUCAAGUGAUCCGCCCACCUCACCCUCCCAAAGUGCUGGGAUUACAGGCAUGAACCACUGUGCCGGGCCCUAAAGUUAUGUUUGAAGUAUUAUUAUCUCACCUUCAUUUAAUUCUUUGUCAAUAACAAAAGAAGAAACGUACUGAGCCUACCUAUACCAGGCUACCCCUUAGCCACGAACAAGAAUCUUUUUGCAAGCAAGGUUCUUGAAUAGCUGAUCACUGGAAAUUGAAAUGAAUCCAAGAAACUCUUGGAGUGGAUAAUAAAGAUGUUUUCAUUAUGUAAAUGCCCUCCUGAGGGUUGAUUAAAGCACAUGAUAUAGUUAUGGCCUGGUCCAUGUGUCAUUCUAGGAAAAGGCAAAUUCUGAGAUAACAUACCAGAGGGGUUAGCUUAGUUAGUGGCCUAGUAAAUUCAUUGAACAAAUGAUCUGAGGGUGGCUUUCAUAUUGGGGCUUUAGUUACUUUUGAUCCCCGUAAUGUAAGAAUUGUGUCCCAGUGUGAUAUUUUUGGCUGUUUAGAUUUGUAUGUCUUCAAGUCUUCACAGCCCAAAUGUGAAUUACCCCCAAACUACUCAGCAGUGCUCCCUCUGUUUUUGCCUGAAAGGAUUAAAAUUUGUUCAUCCAUCUGGGCAUCCAGAUGAUGAUGACAUACCCUGCCCAGUUCUUAGGGCAGCCUGGGCUGCUGGAGCUAGACAGUGACUCAGAGAGGCAGUCAGUGGGGCUCAGGUGAUAGGUUCAGACAACUGCUACUAAAAGCUGACCCCAAACUCAGACAUAUUUACAAUCCUGUAUUGUCCCCGAGGCAAAAUUCAGUAAGCCUGCUGCUCUUCACCUUCACACAGAAGCUUCAAGCUGCCCUUUCUUUCCAGGGACACGCACUUGCAUCAGAAUGCUAUAUUGUUGCUGGCGGUGAAGACUGGGAGGGUUUGGGUGAAAGCUGUCUUGCGCCACCUGGUCUGGCUUAAAUCUGGGUGGCUCAAGCUCCACAUGCCUUUAGGGAUGCUCCUGCUCUGUCUCUCCUCUCUCAGGUCAGUAAAGCCAUUAGAAAUGAAGCCUGAGGCUGUCCUAAGGAAGGAGUGCUUGCUAAGUCCCUCCUGGGUGAAUAUAGGCGAGUACAUUUACCUGCGGCUGAAUGGGAGUACCAUAUGAAGUUAAUGCUAUAUCCUCCUCAGCUCCAUCACUGUCUCGGGCUGAAAGCCAAAGGAGGGAAGGGCUGGGUUAGUGUCCGAGAGUCAAUCGGAAACAGCACAUGAGGACUACAGGAAAACUCCAUGGCUUGCAAACAGGCUCUUCACUCUUUAAAAGGAAUUCUGAGGCUGGGCACGGUGGCUCACGCCUGUAAUCCCAGCACUUUGGGAGGCCAAGACGGGCGGAUCACUUGAGGUCAGGAGUUCGAGACUAGCCUGGCCAACAUGGCAAAACCCCGUCUUCACUAAAAAUACAAAAAUUAGCUGGGCGUGGUGGCGUGCACCUGUAAUCCCAGCUACUUGGGAGGUGGAGGCAGGAGAAUUUCUUGAACCUGGGAGGCGGAGGUUGCAGUGAGCCGAGAUCACGCCACUGCAUUCCAGCCUGGGUGACACAGCGAGACUAAAUAAAUAAAUAAGUAAGAGGAAUUAUCAAUCAGUUGUAGCUGUUAUUGAAAAAGUUUAUGAUUUAAAGGAGUGCAUUUAAAGUUGAUGUAGAAAGCGUGGGUAGCGUGUGAGUGUUUAGGAGAAGUGCAUUGGCGUUGGGAGACCACUGGCUCCAAGUCAGUUCUUGCUCUCUCAGUAUUACCGUGUGGCCUUGGGCAUCUCACUCUUUUCAACAGUCCCUUUAGGCUUGAUUCUCUACAAGCUUGAAUUCAAUUUUUCAAAAUUUUAAAAAUUUUGCCCAGGUUGAUCUUAAACCCCUGGCCUCAAACCUCCCACCUUGGCCUCCCAAAAUGCUGGGAUUAUAGGUCUGAGCCACCAUGUCUCGCCUGAAUUCAAUUUUUAAAAUUGGGCAUAAUAAAAGAGAUCACUUGAGACAAUUCUAUAUUGUUGUAGGAUCAUCACAGACAUAGGUAUUUGUUUAAUGGCUGCCUCCUCAACCAGCCUGUAAGCUCUGUGAAGACAGGAGCUGUGCCUGUCUCUGAGAGCAGGUACUUGCUGGAUACCUAGUUGUUUUUUGAUGAUCACAGACAUAACCGUGUUAGUAGGGUUCACACUUAGGGGUUUCAUGUUGAGUGGAUGGACCCUGGAAAAGGACUGCUUGGCUCUCUCAUUUGUGUUACCUACCUAGGGCCAAGUUCCUUAACCUUUUGUUGCCUUUGUUUCCUGAUGGAAAUAAAAGAGGAAUAAUGACAGUCAUAACAGUAAGUCUAUCUCAUAGGAUUGCUUUGAGGAUUAUGUAAAAUGUUAUAUAAAGUCCUUGGAACAGAGCUAUCCUUUGUGUAUGAUUAUUGGUGGUGGUGCUGGUGCUGCAGUUAUAAUAGAUGCUCUGACAUCCUCUUCCUAGUGGCUUUUUACUUAUUUUUUUUAUUUUUUAAAGGGGCUGAUGCUGUGAUACAUGAAAUGCUUGUCUUUCCUUCAUGGCAGAACAAACUGAAUCCUUGGCUCAACUUCAUUCCUUGUGUCAUAACAAGGCUCCUUCACACUCAGUCUCUUGGGAACCAACUUUCAGCCAACAUUCUCAUCAAACCAGAUCAUCAGUUAGAAAAGCCUAAUUCUUCCAGCUCUAGCUAUAGUUCAUGAGUUUACCAAAAGGCUGAGCAUUUUUUAAUACUAAACCUGCACCACUGUGUGACAGGAAGUCCGAGUUGAGUAAGACCUUCCAUUUAUCUGUGGAGAAGGCAGGGAGGGAGGUGAUGAGCAGCAUUUAAAGAUGAGGAUUCUGAGGCUCCUAGGGUUUGAGGACCUUGGUUUGGUCUCGAGGUUGGUAAGAAGCAGAGUCUCGGAUCCUGGGCACAUGCGGCCCGAUUCUGCACUCUUUCCACUGCCCUUUGCUGCCCAAUUAUGCUCUCGCUCCCUGAAUUUGUUUUUUUAAAUUGAAAUGUAAUUUUUUUGGAGUGUGCAGUGGCGCAAUCAUAGCUCACUGCAACCUUGAACUCCUGGACUCAAGUGAUCCAUCUCACAGCCUCUUGAGUAGCUAGGACCACAGGUGUGUGCCACUAUGUCCAGCUAAGCUCUCUGAAUCUUUAUGAAUGACACCAUCCUUGACUUAUCUGUCCUCAGACCAAACAAAUCCUGCCUAUGACCCCACUGUCUUCUUCCUUGCUUUAAGCUAGUUCUCUCUCUGUGACCUGUAACUUGAGGGUGACAAAAAAGAACUUCCCAUGAAAGAACAAACAAACAUGACACCACCUGGGACCAUUGAAGUUGGAUUUCCCCUGGUAAGGUCUGAUGUUAUACCCUUUAAUCAUCUUUGUUGGGUUCUGCCAAGCCUCCCCAAACUUCCCACACUUCUCAUUAGUGGAUCAGUGGGUAUCCUUGCUAGAGACUGACCGAUUGCGGGUACAAUGGCACGGUUGUUCUUGCUGACCACACAUCUGUUUAUACAGUACCAUGAUUGUUUCUUGAGCAAACAAAAGCAAAGACAGUGGAGCACCUCCCUGCUCCCUGAAUCCCCCAGGAAUGUACCUCUGGAGAGCUCCUGGUUCUCCACUUGGAAGCUGUGUUGGUAGGCUGUGA